GGUGGCUCAGUGGUAGAGUGCUUGCCUUGCAUGCAUGAGGACCUGGGUUCCAUUCCUCAGCACCA
rfam:Dipodomys ordii contig_10027, whole genome shotgun sequence.